rnacentral:lncRNA from 1 species
GGCCGCAUGUGAGCAGGCCGAAGCAGACGCUGUGCACCUGGCCAGGGAGAUGCAGGCCGAGUACUGGCGAGAACGUGAAGGCAUUCUUCAGCCGCGUAGCCGCCCUGGCAUUCGAGCAGUCGGUGCUGCAGGACCUGGAGAGGCAGAGCAGUGCCCGGCUCCAGGUCGGCAAUGGAGACCUAAUCCAAAUGGAAGGGAGUCCGCCCGAGACCCAGGAGAGCAAGAGGCCCUCCAGCCUGGGCUGCUGCUAACUGGGGCCUGCGUGGAAGGCCUCCGCUCCCUGCACACACACGGACAGGAAUUUCCGUGACUGUGGUGUGGAGACUGGAGCCCAAGCUCUGCAGCGUGUCGCCCUCAAGCUGUAGGCCCAUGUUCCAGUCCCUCCACCCACCCACCGGGCUCAGCUCCAGGGCACAGUCACUUGUCCGUUGCAGGUUGGGCACUAGAAAAGGCCCCCACUGGCUGCCUGGGAGCCCCACACCACCGGGCCAGUGCAGGCACUGUGGUGAUCCCAUAAAAGGCCAGUCCAUUUGCAGGGUCAUCAGACAGUCACCUUUGGCCUCAAGAGGCCUCAGAACUGCAAACUCCUGCGUCGGUCUAUACUACUCGGCCAUGGCCCACAUCAGCAGUCAACCCUGCACUCUUUCCCAGCGAUCUUGGAUGUGUCCCCAGGAUCCGUCACAGUGUUCCAGGCAACCUGGACUUGUCAAAGUCAGCACCUGAAGGAGAGGCCACCUGCCAUUCCCCCUGGGAGUUUUCUGUUGUCAGCAGGACUUAUGGUUCUGGGUCUCAGAGCUUCAGGCCUCACUGUCCUUCUGCCACGGAUGCUCAAGGUUCCUGGGCAGACCAGCACCUCUGGAGGACAAUGGACAAAAUGUCUCUUAGACCUGUUCUGGCUGAAGGGCUAUCUCUGGCACCUCUGAGAUCCCUAGGUCCUGCCCUCCUGGUCCGUGGGCCAGGAUGUGCAGAACAACCACUCAGGCCUUUCUGGCCCACCUGGACAGUGCAUUUACCUGUGUGCUGCGGGAGGCAGACUGCACAGCUGUCCUAGGGUAACUCACUCUGCAGCCCUUGAACAUGGCACUGCCCUCCUCUGGCACUCAUGCUGGGCCUGUGCCCACUGCUGCCUCUCCAUCCCUCUCUCAUUGGCCUAUACAUCUCUUAGGACCUUUGUAAUGGUGUCCAUGCACCUUUAGAGGACUUCAGAGGCCCUGCCAAGUCUAGCAUGUUCCUGUCUCCAACACCGCCUCCUGCACAUGCAGAGCAGACAGAAAUACCCCACACAUUCCCCAGCCUCUCUGCCCAGUAUGCUCAUCCACAGGGUUUUCUCACUGCUAUGAACCAGCCCCACAGCCCCAGGCCCCUGUCACCUGGCUAUGCCCACUCAUCCCACCCGUCUCGUGCUGUUGCUUCCCGUAGAUGGCGAGCACCUUGCAGGCAGCCUUCUGAUCAGUACUGCUCUCCUAGGGCCUGGCACACUGCAGCUGCCCUGUAAAUGUUCAGCUCAGCGAUUGCCAAAUACCAGUUAGGGAAGAACACUGGCAUCUUUUUCUAUUCAUUCCCCCUUCAACAUAUUUUUUGUAGUUUUUUAUAUAAAUGACUUUUUUUUUUUUUUGAGAUGGAGUUUCACCCUUGUUGCCCAGGCUGGAGUGCAAUGGCGUAAUCUCGGCUCAGUGCAACCUCUGCCUCCCAGGUUGAAGCGAUUCUCCUGCCUCAGCCUCCCAAGUAGCUGGGAUUACAGGCAUGCACCACCAUGCCUGGCUAAUUUUGUAUUUUUAGUAGAGAUGGGGUUUCUCCAUGUUGGUCAGGCUGCUCUCGGACUCCUGAUCUCAGGUGACCUGCCCACCUCGGCCUCCCGAAGUGCUGGGAUUACAAGGGUGAGCCACCAUGCCCGGCCAUAAAUGAUUUUAUUCAUUUUUAUGUUUUCUUUUGGGCGGCGGGAUGGAGUCUCUGUCACCCAGGCUGGCGUGCAAUGGCACGAUCUUGGCUCACUGCAAGCUUCCCCUUCCGGGUUCAUGCCAUUCUCCUGCCUCAGCCUCCCGAGUAGCUGGGACUACAGGCACGUGUGACCAUGCCGGGCUAAUUUUUUAUAUUUUUAGUAGAGAGAGGUUUCACCGUGUUAGCCAGGAUGGUCUCGAUGAUCUGACCUCGUGAUCUGCCCGCCUCGGCCUCCCAAAGUGCUGGGAUUACAGGCCUGAGCCACCGCGUCCGGCCUCCAUAAAUGACUUUUAAAGGGGUUGUAUGUUUAGUGUGAACAAAGACAGUACAAAGCAUAUAAAAUACAAGGUGAAAGCCCCCCCCCCGCCACAUUAGCUGCGCCCCUGAAGUGUCUCCAGCAGAAGAGAUGGAUGAAUGGAAGGACACACAGAUGGACAGAGAGCAGGAAAGACUGUUAGCUCUGCUAACAGUCAGGACUAUUCCUUCUGGACUCUGUGCCUUUGCCUGCACAGCUAGUGUUGAUGGCUUGUUUGUUGUUUUCACCAGAGUGAGCUCCUUCUGGACAUACUGCCUGGCAGCCUGCCUUCCUAGGGAGCUGGCGCCAAGGCCUCUCCCUGAUGGCACACAAGGAGCCUCCUUCCUGUAGCAGCGCCCAGUUUUCAUGUGGAUGGAUUGUAGUUCAUUUGACCCUCCCCAUCCGCGGGCCAUCCGGCUUGUGUCCAGCUUUUAGCUCUUGCCAAUGGUGCUGCAGUGGCCAUUCUUGUAGUUAUAGCUUUGCGUACUCAGGAAGGCCCUUCUCCCGACUGCGGCCCCCAGCCUGGUCCACUAAAUGCAGCCUGUGGUCGGGCAGACAGCAUUGGGGUCCAUUAGGAAGACCAGGUUUGCUGGGCAUAAGCUUCACAGGACGGGAGAACCUGCCCAUGGUGGACUGUCGUUCUCCACAGCUCCCUUCCCUUGCCCCUUCGGGCCUCCAGGAUAUGUUUGCGGGGGUGGGUGUGGUGUCC